GGUGGCCGCCAAGAGGCACAUCUGAUUCAGCAUGCCGCGUGUGUGAUAAGGCCUUCGGGUUGUAAGCUCUUUUGUCCGUUAAGAUUUCUCGUUUCCUCUACCUUCUUCCCUUGCUGUUUCCCUCCCAACAUCCGCCGUCUUACUCCGGGCUCAUCUUCUUUGUUUAUUACUUAUGUUGCGUAUCGUUGGUCCCAGCUUCUCGUCUCACUCACGCGCGCACGCGGAUGCUCUCACCCCCCAUCUCACUCCCCUCCUCUCACUCCUCAGACUUCGUUGUUUUGCGUUUUUCCUAAUUACUUUAUUUGUUUUGUUGUUGUGCCUCCAUAGCCGCCUCUUCUUAGUCGU
rnacentral:rRNA from 1 species